rnacentral:rRNA from 1 species
AUUGAACGCUAGCGGGAGGCUUAACACAUGCAAGUCGAACGAGUGGCGGACGGGUGAGUAAUAUAUGGGAAGUGCCCAGUAGCGGGGGAUAACUACUCGAAAGGGUGGCUAAUACCGCAUACUAUCGGAUAACCCAUAUGGGAUUAGCUAGUAGGUGAGGUAAUGGCUCACCUAGGCGACGAUCCCUAGCUGGUCUGAGAGGAUGAUCAGCCACACUGGGACUGAGACAAGGCCCAGACUCCUACGGAGGCAGCAGUGGGGAAUAUUGCACAAUGGGCGCAAGCCUGAUGCAGCCAUGCCGCGUGUAUGAAGAAGGCCCUAGGGUUGUAAAGUACUUUCAGUGGGGAGGCGUUACCGACAGAAGAAGCACCGGCUAACUCCGUGCCAGCCGCCGCGGUAAUAC